rnacentral:lncRNA from 1 species
GUAAUUAAGUAAUUAAGAAGGUUUAAGUAAGUGAUAAAAAAGGUUUGUGUAAGUUGGUUAUGUGUGUAAGUUUUUGAGCAAAUAAUCUUAAAGAAAUUAAAGAUUAUACAACUAUGGUUAAACAACAGCUGUUAUUUUUCAAUAUUGUAAUGUUGUUACUUUAAAAGCUAACCUCGGUUAAUAUAAAAACAUCAAUGUAAUUAUGGUGCUAUUAAUGUGUUCAUAUCUUCCAGGUAUACAAGUCUGUAAGGUAGAAGCUUCAAAAGAACAUUAUAUCAAGCUGGUGUUCUAAAGUUGUAUGGUAAUUUUAGGCUUAAAAAGAAAAACAUGUUGGAGAUUUAUUUAUAUCAUUUGUGUUCUAUAACUGGACUUGUUAUCAAUAAGAUAUGUAAAGUUCUAUGUUACUUUUUACACUGAGAUACAAUUUAAAUGUAUUUUUAAGUUAAUGAGAGCCUAAUCUGUGUGAAGGUUUUAUUGCAAAACACAAAAGUACAUUACUACUUUUCUACAAGAGGUUAAAAGCUUUCAGCCUUUAAUUCAUGUUUUAGGUGUGAUAUUAUAUUGUGUUAGCUAAUAUUCAUGUAAACUUGAGCAACAAUUUAUGUAAACUUUGUAAAAUGAUCACCUUCAGAACUAUAGUACUUGAGAUUUAUAAAGAGCCCUGCCUUACUUGAGAUAAGGCUCUGUCCCAUCUCACUACAUGUAAAAGUGACUAUGGAAGAAGUAGGCCAGAUUUCAGUACAGUUAAAGUUGUGUCCAAAAGUAGGUUUUUGCCAAGAUUACUAGGAUCUCAAAUAGGGAAUUAUGAUGUAUAACCCUGCCAGAAUUCAAGGUAGCUAUUAUGUAAGCUAAAUAUGUUUUUACCCUAGUUAGUUUUGUUUUGUUGUUUGCUUAUAGAUGGUUUAAGGAUUGCCUGUUAAUGUUUUAAAGAGGUACUGCUUUAAGAACUCACAACCUGGGUCAACUUAAGAUAAGGAGUUAUCACCUACAGGAUAGAGAGAUAGACAUUAAAGCCCAGUGCUCUUAAUAGAAGGCUGUUAACUUAUUUGCUGGAUGUUUAAGAUUAAGUUUUAAAAUUAAAAAUUUGGCUCUUGCCCUCUGAGUCAGUCUGAAUCAGGGAAUAGGGGACUUCUCCAAAGGGCUCUGCAACUCUAGGCCACAUAACCUCCUGAGCAGGGAGAUUAAUGAGACCAGUGGAGGGCAGAAAGCCGAUCGGUGCAUUUGCUGUAAAGAGGAGGGUCAUCAGAAAGGGGAGACAUCCCUGAUGCUUCCGAGGGAAGCCACAUGGUCAAGCAAGGCCUGGACCCAUCCUAAGGUAAAUGACACUAGCAGAACUGAGAAGCUGCAAUGAAGUUCCCCGAGGACUCCCAGGGAAACUCAGCUGACUGUUGACAAUAGAUAAGAACAAAAGUCAGUUUGACUUGCUUCAUCUUAAACACUUAGCAAAGAUAGUUAAAGCCAAAGCACAGCUGGUCCUAGACAUUUUAAAUGAUAAUAAUAGUUAAAUGUAACUUCCAAAUAUAAGUAAACUAGAGGCUAUAAAAGAGAUUCUCAGACAGGAAUGCCUGAUAACUAUUAAAAGGAACUGCCAGAGUAGUUUUUAGUUUAAGGCCCACAGAUAUUCCUAACCUACACAGGUAGGCUUGGUGUUUGCUAGUAUGGUUAUCCAGCCCUAAGUAGCAAAAUUAAAGGUUUCUCUAUUAGACAUAGGUCAUACUAGUAAAAAGGACAUCUGUAAACCUAAAUGUUAGUUGUUGUGUUUACAUCCCUGACAUUUCUGGCAAGGUGACAAAUAUCCUUAAAGAUUUACAUGCUUAGAUAGAAGCCAUGUCCUCAGCAACUUUGUCGUGGAAACAAUAUCUUAGCUUCUGGUUCUUGGUACUUCCUGGUGGAAAACAUUGUUAGUCUCUGUCUUGGCCAUUAUACUCAUUGGCAUAUUCCUGUGCUGUGACAUUUAUUGCUGCAUCAAUAUGGUUCCAGUAAAUUAAUGAAUUCUUGUUUCUCUUAUAGACCACCUAUCCCUCGAAUGGCCCUCCAGCCUAAUACUUCUCAAUUGGACUUUUAUCAUGGACCACUCGAUAGACCCGAUAUUUUUAAAGGGGGACUCCAAACUGCUUGCCCCACACCGUCCCUUUUCAGCCUGAAGAAGCCAGAAAGAUUCUCUUCGCCCCCCCUUCCUUACAGCAGUGAGGAGUUCCCAAAUUAGAGGGGGGAAUAAAGCCAGAUUUUAAGUUAGGUAGUCAGUGUAGUUAGAUAAAUCGGGGUCUAAUACCGAGUGAAAUCUAAAAUGGAGGCCAUGCUGAAAAUGAUUCCAGGGAACGCAAAACAACUCAUGAAAUGUGAAACCCUUCAAUAAUUGUGAUGCAUUACUUUUAAGAUUAAAAGUAGUCAGAAAAAGGAGUGGGGAAUGUAAGGGUAAAAGAAAUUGAAGUUAAAGCGUAAAAGUUAAAGGGUAAAAGACCGGGUGUUGUAAAGUUUCUAAGCUGCAAGGUCUGAGUUAAAAUGUAAAGGAUUAGGUAUUGUUAGGUAUCUAUGCUACCUGCAAAACCUGAAAUUUCUGUAGCUGUUAAGACAAUGCUUAGAACUGCCCAGUAAAUAUUUCCCCUGACUAUUUGGUUGCUUAAUAAGGGCUCUGUGUGGUCGCACGUAGGCAUUGCAGAGGCUGGACCAAUCAGUUUAAAUGUAACCCCCUCCUUAGGAAUGACCUAUCACUCCAGCCUGACCUGUUCCCGCCAAUGAAUGAACUAAUCAUGUUUAGGAGUUGUUAUUCAAUUUUCCCGCGCCUCAUGAUGAUUUGUUCUGAUGUAUACAAGGCCCUCCGCCCUCCCCAAAAAGUGUACUUAAGCAGUGCUCAGCCCCUGCUCGGGGCUCUGGGCUGCUUUCCCUUCUUGAGUGGGCACGGAGCCCCAGCAUGCUGGUUCAAUAAAUCCCCCCUUCUGCCAAUUGCAUGAGUGGUCACUUGGUGGUCUCUUUCUCCGACGUUUCGUGGAACCCUUACAUUAUGAACAAUUCAUAAUUGUGUCUAAGAAGUUUAAAAGUCAGUAAUUGUGACUGUGUGAGUUGGCACACACAGAGACACAUGUGCAAAUGCCUUCUGUGCAGAACAAAGUUCCCUUUAACUAAAUAAAAAUCAGCAUCUAAAAUUCCAGGUGUUACUGUGACAAAGUAGAAGUCACUAUUUGGAAGAAAGAAUUGGAUGGCAGUGAAGCCAGAUUUAAAGUUAGGUAGUCAGUGUAGUUAGAUAAAUCCGGGUCUAAUGCCGAGUGAAAUCUAAAAUGGAGGAGGCCAUGCUGGCAAUGAUUCCGGGAAACGCAGGACAACUCAUGGAAUGUUAAUGAAGUCCCGAAAAGGCCCUAGGCCAAAGUCCACCUCAAAGAAAUGUUAAUGAACAGCCCCCAGCAAAAAGGUGCUGACUCAGUCCUUCCUGACCAGAUUACUUCUUUGGCCCACCUGUGUCCCACCCCUCGGUCCUUCCCACCUACAUUCCAUCACUGAAGAACUAUAAAAAGGGGAGACAACAUCCCUUCCAUGGAUUCCACCUCUUGGGUCCCCUUCUUCCUCCGGGAGAAUUCUUUUCUGCUGUCCUUUAAUAAACUUCUAAUUUCUAUUCUAAC